rnacentral:tRNA from 1 species
GCCAGUUUGGCUCAGUGAAUAGAGUGUUGGCCUGUGGACUCAAGGGUCCCAGGUUCAAUUCCUGGUCAGGGCA